CCUUCCUUUCCCUUGCUUUAGCUAACCGGAAUAACUUCAUGUCCCCGCCUUUCUCCCCUAAUACCUCGUACAUGCGGCCAAACGCCUCGUUUUUGGCUUCCGUAACCGCCAUCUUUGCUUCUUUCCUCGCCGCCUUGUAAGUUUCCCUGUUCGCUCACCGUUCUUCCUCGCUUGUGCUCCCUGCCAUCUUAGCAAACGCCGCUUUCUUCACCUCCACUUU
rnacentral:lncRNA from 1 species